GCUGAGAAAACCUUGAUGGGUUGCAGGUGGGAGCAGAUGUCUUCUUUCAUCAGGGCAUCUGCUGUCCCAGGUGGGCUGGUGUACUCCUCCUCAACCACUGCUCUGCCAACCUGCAGGAAACACACUGAAAAGCAACCUUAAAACACAGCAAGCAAAGGUAUUUCUGCUUUGUUUAUGUACUCAGGAGCUCCCAAGGUGGCCAGAAGUGCUGAUGGGGAAGUUUGGACAUGAUUCAAGGGGAGCUCAGGGAGUUUCAGUCCAAGGAGAAAUCCAGUGCGAGGCAAGAUGCAAAAACCAUCAGCGCCCCAGCCGCAGCAGUCUGCAAGGGGCAGGACAGCACUGUACCGCGUGGCUCUGGGAUGGCUGUAAGCAAAGUUCAACAUCUGCUGAAGGAACGUGCAGGUUGAAUGUUAAUCUUUGGCAUGUUUCAGAGAGUUCAGAUAGAGAUCCCUGGAAAUGAGCAGGAAGGAGCCUGUGUGAGCUGACCUGAGCUAGCAGGGUGGCUUCACAGCUGGAGAUAGCAGUUCCACAGAGAGAAGCACAAGCUGAAGACAAGCAAAGAACCUCUUCCCUGUGGAAUAUAACCCCAGCCUAAACCUGAACCUAACCUGCCCUCAGGACAGGAGGGGCUUGCAAACGCUGAAUGCAAGACAUUAGGGAUUUCGGACUACUUUUUGUGACUAAAGGAGAGGUCUGUCCAUGUCCUGUACCAACUGUGGGAUGAGCAGCCUCUGUACAGCUGAAGAUUUGGUUUGGGGUUUUCUCUCCAAUACCUAAAAGAGAUGUCUAGAACAAUCUGAGGCAUCAUUGACUUUGGGGCCAGCUGUAUGACUGCAACUCCUGCCUGUGUAUCUGCUACUACAUGAAUACAAUCCACGAAACUGCAGAGCUGUCCCCAUCUCUCCAGGAAGCAAGCAGCAGCCUCUGGCCCUGCUUCAACCAAGAUGAGAUCAAAGUUCCACCAGCUGGAUGAGAGGAAGGGUGACAGGAUCGUUGCUGACCCUCUCCAUUCUUAGGGAAGCUUCUUCUCAUCUCCUGUUGGAGUAACGCUGGCCAGUGGUCCUGUUUCAGCAGCUCCAGGACCUCAUCCAGAGUGUGGGACCUCUUCCUCAGACCACAGCUGCAGGGAGGGAGGAAGCGUAGGUUGAGCAAGAGCUAGGGACAGUCAUUGUUUAGUUAAACUGGGCUGCUACGCACAUCACAACAGAACAGAUCUUCCUGUAACCAGAGAGAGAAGGACAAACAUGAACCCAAAAUGAUUAUUGUAGCAAUCACCACACAGGUAAAGAGUGCCUGGUAAGCUGUCAUUCUGGUAGUCAGAUCAGCCAAAACACAGCCUGUUACUGUCUUGAGCUAGCAUUUGAGUUAGAAAACUGUUUAAUUUUGUAUUCUUGUUUUUAUUUUUUUGUUUGGAAUCUCAAAGGGACUAUCUUAAACAGGAUUUUGGCAAUAGUGAUGAUAAAAUGACAGAAAUAUUUAAUCUCCACUCGAAUUGCCUCUUUUUGACAUUGAACUAGCACUCUGUGAAAAAGUGAUUUAUAAACAGUGGACAAAGGAAGAUGAAAUAAACACAGACAGAAAAAAAAACACUACAAAGUGCAAAGUAGUUACAGGACCAAGUUUGCCCUUUAAAAAUGAAAACCAAACCAACAAACAAAACCCCCCUUAAAAAAAAAAAAAAAAAGGCAAGAAUACUUUGUUGUGUUUUUAAGAUGUGAGUCUCAAUAGUUUCUGAAAUGAUGUUUCAAUUAUCUAUGAUUUAUUUUCUGCUGUUACGCACUUUCCUUUUCCAUGAUUGUUGUGCUAUAUCCUCUAAUUGCAUUCUAAUGAUAUUUUAGCCCGCGUUUUGAGCCUGCAUCUCUGUUGCCACCUCCCACCCGUGGCGUGAAGGACAGUGCGAGUCCACGCAGCGUGUUCUGGUUGGACACUGAGAUCUUUUCUCAGUAAGUAAUGCUGGCCUUGAGAAGGGUAUUUGUGAAAUGAAGUUUAAGAGAGCAGUUUUCAUUCAUAAGGCCAUUACGUCUUUUAAAGAAGGCAUUUACAGGCAUUUUUCCCCUUGUUUCCUAUCAACAUUUUUUACAUGAAGAAGCUAAAUGGGUUUGCUGCCCACCACUCUCCUCUCAAAACCCUCAUAAAUGAGCAGGAACAGGCAUUGUAGUUCCAGCUGGCCAGUAAAUGGAGUGUGAAAAGAAGUUUUACCUUUCUAUUUUAAAACAGAACAGAGCUUUAAAUUGCCAUACACAGAAAGAUUACAGGCAUUAAGAGAGUAAAAUAACAUAUAUUCUGUGUAGCAGAUGGCGGGAGAUGAAUAUUUCAGUCUUUCACAGUUUUUGAUCCAUUUUCCUCAAGUGUUUCAUAUCGCUCCGCUGAGAUACCUUAAUUGCUAUAGGAUACCCUCUCUCAGCAAAGAUUUCCAAGAGUAUUGCCAGUUUGCAAUAUAGGGAAAGACAAUGCUUAAGCAAAGUGACAACAACAUCCUUAUAACAAAACCCAUCUUUUCAUUUUAUGACUUUUUGUAGAGGAAUCUAAUUAUACUCCAUGAAAUAAAUAAAAUUAUGGUAACGUGAGACAAUUCUGAAAUUAGAUAGUCUUGGGCUUGAGAAAUGCUACAGGUUCGUGUUGUGUGACCAUGAUUAUCAACUGAAAAUGCUUGCUGGUUCAAGUUACGUGGAGAUAGUCCAAGCUGAGUGAGUGAAAAGACAAGGGAGGGUGUUGGGGAGUGGGAAAUGAGAGUACCCACCUCUGUGUGUGUAAGGUCAGGAGCUUCUCCCUCC